rnacentral:snRNA from 1 species
UUACUUCAGCCUCAGCAGUGCAUAUACUAAAACUGGAAAGAUACAGAGAUUAGCAUGGCCCCUGCACAAGGAUGACAGGCAAAUUUGUGAAGUGUUCCACAUUUUU